rnacentral:lncRNA from 1 species
GUUACGGAGCUGCUUCCUCUCCCUAGCCUCACCCUGCAGGAAUGCCAGUGAACUUAUUGCUGACAUCUUGGAGCUCAGUACCCUCAUAGUGUAACGGCGUCAGCAGAUCUGCCUGUGCUGGGACUUCCUGUACUACCCAUUCCUGAGGGGCAAUGCUUCUGCAGGGCCUGUGACUUGGUGCACAACUUCAGACACCAUCAUCUUGCAGCAGCACCGCACCCUCACUAGCCAGGGUGUUGAUGACUUCCUCAAGGCCAAGGCCACAUUCAAGGCUUCGGACUUCAUUGAUGCGCUUGUGCUGAGCAAGGUGGCUUCUCCGGGAUCUUAAUUCAGGAGGUAGAAUGGAGCUUGAGAUCAAGUGUCUGAUCAAGGUACUUGAACUUGAUCUGGAGGGCUCUGGGGAGCCAUGGAAGAUGCUGGAUAAAGGAGUGACAGUCAGCUAUGUUUUCGAGAUGACUGUAGAAGCCUGCCUGGAAGGAGUGAACAAGAGCCAGGAGACCAGGGAGGGAGCUUGUGGGGCAGGUCUGGAGAUGGUGAGGGAGGGAUCCUGCUUGGAUGAAAGGUCUUCAGGGACUGUCUCAGGUUACACACAGGUGUCCUCAGAGCUAGUGUGUUCAGAGUCUUGCCUCCAGGAUGAAAAUGGGAAGGAGUUGUCAGACGAGGACAUAUAAAUGGAGGCUGGCAUAUUCAUGAGUGCUGGUGGUGGUCCCGGUGUGGGACUACUGUGGGAACAGGGGUCUCUCCAUCCAGGGAUAUGAUGGAUGGACCCUACAUCACUCCAUUCUGCCCUUCCUUUCCCUCCUCCCAUUCUCCCGAAAGCCUCAGUGUAUGGGCGCUGUUCAUCCUCUGGUGCUGAAGCAGCCAAGAGACCCAAGUCUGCCUGGCUGCCUCUUAGGAUAUGACAGCAGAGCCAGUGGCCUCUACUAGAUCCUGUACAACCUCACAAAACACCCAGACAUCGGGAGUGCUGCCAGCCUGUGAUGCAAGAGUCCUAAUCCUGAAGACAUUGAAUGACCUGUCAUUCUGCUGUUUUUACCAAAAAGGAUCAUGAGGAUCAGAGAGGAAAAGUCACUUGCCCAAAGUCACACAGCUGAACAGUGGUGGAGUUCAACUUUGACCGUGGGCUGUCUGGCCCCAAGGUGUAUGCUUGCUUCUCUCCCAAGAGACAACUUUCUUAUCAGGCUCAAAUGAAUGAAAGGAGGAUGUUAAAGUUCCUAGAAGCUUUAAUUGAAUGAAAGUUCCUAGUAGAUCUGUACCUACUAAAAACCACACUUCUGAAGCUACGUGGCCACCAGAAGACACAGCUAGUCUGCCAUGUAAAAAAGGAAAGGUGGCGUGUGCCCUGAAGGUGCAGGGGUGAGAGCAGGGAAAUGGAGACCCCAACAGCCAGCAGCAGUGGCCCUCAUCACAGCCCUCCAGGAGAUAUCAAAGGAGACAACGCCAUUAUUGACGAGAUCACUCCCAAGCGGAUUGGAGAUUGUCCCAAUACUUAGACCUGUAGCAAGGCCUUGGGAGAAAUGGUGGUGCAGCAGGAGAGCAGGAACCUAACCAUUGCCAUCCUAAGGCCCUGCAUUGUGCGGAGCAACGUGGCACCAGCUUUUCCUGGGUUGGGUUGAUAAUCUAAAUGGAUGUAGCCGACUCAUUAUUGCGGUAUGUAUAGGGAUGAAGAAGUAACUGUAAUGUAGUGGAGGAAUAGUAAGAAAAUUCUUAGUGCUGGCUUAGCUUCAUUGAUCCAAAAACAUAAAUGCUACUUUACUAUCAA